rnacentral:lncRNA from 1 species
CAAGAUUCCUCUCACUUGUGGAGAAGAAAAAAGGUGCUGUAGAAAGUGCACCAGGUGUUAAUUUUGAUCCGGUGGAGGUGGUAUUCAACAGUCUUAUUCAUGAGGCUUAGAAAACACAAAGACAUUAGAAUACCUAGGUUCACUGGGGGUGUAUGGGGUAGAUGGGUGGAGAGGGAGGGGAUAAGAGAGGUGCAUAUUGGUAUUUAAAGUAGUGGAUUCAAAAAACUUAGAUUAUAAAUAAGAGUUCCAUUACAUGAUACAUAGAUUAGGGCUUUUUCUCCCAGCAAACACCCCUAAGAAUGGUUCUGGGUAUGUGAAUGAGUGGGUGGUAAUUGUGGCUAAAUAUUUUUGUUUUACCAAGAAACUGAAAUAAUUCUGGCCAGGAAUAAAUACUUCCUGAACAUCUUAGGUCUUUUCAACAAGAAAAAGACAGAGGAUUGUCCUUAAGUCCCUGCUAAAACAUUCCAUUGUUAAAAUUUGCACUUUGAAGGUUAGCUUUCUAGGCCUGACCCUCCAGGUGUCAAUGGACUUGUGCUACUAUAUUUUUUUAUUCUUGGUAUCAGUUUAAAAUUCAGACAAGGCCCACAGAAUAAGAUUUUCCAUGCAUUUGAAAAUCUCAGCAUUAUACAUAUAUUUUUUCCAUCCACUUGCACCAUAUCAUUACCAUCACUUUUUCAUCAUUCCUCAGCUACUACUCACAUUCAUUUAAUGGUUUCUGUAAACAUUUUUAAGACAGUUGGGAUGUCACUUAACAUUUUUUUUCUUUUGAGCUAGAGUCAGGGAAUCAAGCCAUGCUUAAUAUUUAACAGUCACUUGUAUGUGUGUGGAAGUUUGUUUUGUUUGUCAUGUAUUGGUACAAGCAGAUACAGUACAAACUCACAAACACAGAUUUGAAAAUAAUGCACAUACAGUGUUCAAAUUUGAACCUUUCUCAUGGAUUUUUGUGGUGUGGGCCAAUACGGUGUUUACAUUAUAUAAUUCCUGCUGUGGCAAGUAAAACACACUUUUUUUUUUCUCCUAAAAUGUUUUUC